rnacentral:rRNA from 1 species
UACGUAGGGUGCAAGCGUUGUCCGGAAUUAUUGGGCGUAAAGAGCUCGUAGGCGGUCAGUCGCGUCUGCUGUGAAAACUCGGGGCUUAACUCCGGGCCUGCAGUGGGUACGGGCUGACUAGAGUGCGGUAGGGGAGACUGGAAUUCCUGGUGUAGCGGUGAAAUGCGCAGAUAUCAGGAGGAACACCGGUGGCGAAGGCGGGUCUCUGGGCCGUAACUGACGCUGAGGAGCGAAAGCAUGGGGAGCGAACAGG